rnacentral:rRNA from 1 species
AUGCAAGUCGACCGGGCGUAACAAUACGUCAGCGGCAGGCGGGUGAGUAACGCGUGGGAACGUACCUUUUGGGUCGGAACAACACAGGGAUACUUGUGCUAAUACCGGAUAAGCCCUUACGGGGAAAGAUUUAUCUCCGAAAGAUCGCCCCGCGUCUGAUUAUCUAGUUGGUGGGGUAAUGGCCCACCAAGGCGACGAUCAGUAACUGGUCUGAGAGGAUGAUCAGCCACAUUGGGACUGAGACACGGCCCAAACUCCUACGGGAGGCAACAGUGGGGAAUAUUGGACAAUGGGGUCAACCCUGAUCCAGCCAUGCCUCGUGAGUGAUGAAGACCCUAGGGUUGUAAAGCUCUUUUGUACGGGAAGAUAAUGACGGUACC